rnacentral:rRNA from 1 species
AACCUCCGCAAUGUGAGAAAUCGCGACGGGGGGAUCCCAAGUGCCAUUCUUAACGGGAUGGCUUUUCAUUAGUGUAAAAAGCUUUUGGAAUAAGAGCUGGGCAAGACCGGUGCCAGCCGCCGCGGUAACACCGGCAGCUCUAGUGGUAGCAAUUUUUAUUGGGCCUAAAGCGUCCGUAGCCGGUUUAAUAAGUCUCUGGUGAAAUCCUGUAGCUUAACUGUGGGAAUUGCUGGAGAUACUAUUAGACUUGAGACCGGGAGAGGUUAGAGGUACUCCCAGGGUAGAGGUGAAAUUCUGUAAUCCUGGGAGGACCGCCUGUUGCGAAGGCGUCUAACUGGAACGGUUCUGACGGUGAGGGACGAAAGUUAGGGGCGCGAACCGGAUUAGAUACCCGGGUAGUCCUAACUGUAAACGAUGCGGACUUGGUGUUGGGGUGGCUUUGAGCUGCUCCAGUGCCGAAGGGAAGCUGUUAAGUCCGCCGCCUGGGAAGUACGGUCGCAAGACUAAAACUUAAAAGGAAA